GCUCCAGGGAUUAGUGGCGAACGGGUGAGUAACACGUGAGUAACCUGCCCUUGACUCUGGGAUAAGCGCUAGAAAUGGCGUCUAAUACCGGAUACGAGCUUCAGCCGCAUGGCUAGGAGUUGGAAAGAAUUUUGGUCAAGGAUGGACUCGCGGCCUAUCAGCUAGUUGGUGAGGUAAUGGCUCACCAAGGCGACGACGGGUAGCCGGCCUGAGAGGGUGACCGGCCACACUGGGACUGAGACACGGCCCAGACUCCUACGGGAGGCAGCAGUGGGGAAUAUUGCACAAUGGGCGAAAGCCUGAUGCAGCAACGCCGCGUGAGGGAUGACGGCCUUCGGGUUGUAAACCUCUUUUAGUAGGGAAGAAGCGAAAGUGACGGUACCUGCAGAAAAAGCACCGGCUAACUACGUGCCAGCAGCCGCGGUAAUACGUAGGGUGCAAGCGUUGUCCGGAAUUAUUGGGCGUAAAGAGCUCGUAGGCGGUUUGUCGCGUCUGCUGUGAAAUCUGGGGGCUCAACCCCCAGCCUGCAGUGGGUACGGGCAGACUAGAGUGCGGUAGGGGAGAUUGGAAUUCCUGGUGUAGCGGUGGAAUGCGCAGAUAUCAGGAGGAACACCGAUGGCGAAGGCAGAUCUCUGGGCCGUAACUGACGCUGAGGAGCGAAAGCAUGGGGAGCGAACAGGAUUAGAUACCCUGGUAGUCCAUGCCGUAAACGUUGGGAACUAGAUGUGGGGGCCAUUCCACGGUCUCCGUGUCGCAGCUAACGCAUUAAGUUCCCCGCCUGGGGAGUACGGCCGCAAGGCUAAAACUCAAAGGAAUUGACGGGGGCCCGCACAAGCGGCGGA
rnacentral:rRNA from 1 species